rnacentral:sRNA from 1 species
GUCAGCACCCCGCUCUGAAGAGACGGGGCUUCAUGCCUCCAACUUUAGAUAGCUCGUACCCGCCUCAGCCUAACGGCUACGUUUUCUGGAUCAUAAUACCCACGAAUGCGACGCUAGUUUGUGGCUCUAUU